rnacentral:rRNA from 1 species
CCUACGGGUGGCAGCAGUGGGGAAUAUUGGACAAUGGGCGAAAGCCUGAUCCAGCCAUGCCGCGUGUGUGAAGAAGGCCUUCGGGUUGUAAAGCACUUUCAGUGGGGAAGAAAGCCUUGGGGCUAAUACCCUCGAGGAAGGACAUCACCCACAGAAGAAGCACCGGCUAACUCCGUGCCAGUAGCCGCGGUAAUACGGAGGGUGCGAGCGUUAAUCGGAAUUACUGGGCGUAAAGCGCGCGUAGGCGGUCUGAUAAGCCGGUUGUGAAAGCCCCGGGCUCAACCUGGGAACGGCAUCCGGAACUGUCAGGCUAGAGUGCAGGAGAGGAAGGUAGAAUUCCCGGUGUAGCGGUGAAAUGCGUAGAGAUCGGGAGGAAUACCAGUGGCGAAGGCGGCCUUCUGGACUGACACUGACGCUGAGGUGCGAAAGCGUGGGUAGCAAACAGGAUUAGAUACCCCAGUAGUC